rnacentral:rRNA from 1 species
GUCCUUUUGAAUUUAUUUAAGGUCUAGUCUGCCCACUGAAUUUAAAUUUUAAAUGGCCGCAGUAUUUUGACUGUGCAAAGGUAGCAUAAUCAUUAGUUUUUUAAUUAAAAGCUUGUAUGAAAGGCUGGACGAGGUAAAAUCUGUCUCUAUUUAAAUUAUAAUAGAAUUUAACUUUUAAGUUAAAAGGCUUAAAUGUUUUUAAAAGACGAGAAGACCCUAUAGAUCUUUAUAAUUUAUUAAUUAAAAUUAAUUUAGAAUUAUUAAUAUUUUAUUUAAUUAAAUUAUUUUAUUGGGGUAAUAUAAAGAUUGAAUUAAUUCUUUUUUAUAAUAAACAUUAAUUUAUGAAUAUUAGAUGAUCCAGUUUUACUGAUUAUAAGAUUAAGUUACCUUAGGGAUAACAGCGUAAUUUUUUUAGAGAGUUCAUAUCGAUAAAAAAGUUUGCGACCUCGAUGUUGGAUUAAAGAUUAUUUUAGGUGUAGAAGCUUAAUAAUUUUGGUCUGUUCGACCAUUAAAUCUUUAC